rnacentral:lncRNA from 1 species
UCACUGCAAGCUCCGCCUUCCGGGUUCACGCCAUUCUCCUGCCUCAGCCUCCCGAGUAGCUGGGACUACAGGCGCCCGCCACUGCGCCCGGCUAAUUUUUUGUAUUUUUAGUAGAGAGGGGGUUUCACCGUGGUCUCGAUCUCCUGACCUCGUGAUCCGCCCGCCUCAGCCUCCCAAAGUGCUGGGAUUACAGGCGUGAGCCACCGCGCCCGGCCAGUUCAAUGGAUUUUAAAAAUUAUUAUUCUCUAGAAAAAAGACCACGAACUUUGGAGUGGACAUCCUGAGACCUGCCUACGAAGACCAUUAGGGUAAAGAAGUCACCCCUUCACCCCAGGACCAGGAAGCCUCCAGGAUGGCAUAAGCGACCAAACAGCUGGGAGCCAAGCACAGUGCAGGGGGCUUGGGGUCGGCGGCCGGAGGCUGGGGUGGUGGCCUCCAGAAGACACUCCCCUGAUUCCUACACCGAGGGAACACACAGCAGCAAGCUAGGAAAGAAGGGGUGACCCAGCCCAACGCUGUAAACCAGGGCGCGAACCGGCGUUGAGCUGUGCAGCUGCGCCCUGGGCUCCAGUCCUGCUCUGCCGCAGACCCCACCGGAGCCAGCACCUGCCUCCCCGACCCUCGCUGGGGCGGCUGUGAGAUGAGCCCAGAGCCUUCCUGAGCCAACCCUCGCAAGGAAAGUCUGUCUGUUCACCCCACUAUCCUUGUCUUGAAGGAUGAAGAAAAGAGGGCCCCCCGGGAGGUCCCAAAAGGUGGAAUGGACAUCUGGGAUCCAAGCACAGCAAUUUCUUUAUUUUUCUUAAGGUAUCCAGCUUGUUGGAAUCUAAGAUCUGCGAAGGUAUUAAUAGAAUUCCUGCAUCUUCUGCCACUCCCCAUAGAAGCUUGAAGUUACACAAAUGUUAAAUUAUACGUCAGAUGUGCAUAUAUGAACAAAACCUACGAGUGUGCAUGAAAUAACACCUUCUUAAAUAUAUAGAUUCUUUUUUCUGCAAUAUUAAAUGGAAACCCCACUAGAACAUCGUUUUUCCUUAAUAGCAUACCCUCCACACUGUGUGGUCUAAAUUCAAGCUCUACCACCUACUAGCCAUUAAGCAAGUUAUUAAGGUCUUCGUGCUUCCAUUUUCUUACGUGGAAAAUGAGGUGGCAAUAGUAUGUAUGAGUUCUUCGGAGGGAUUAAACAAGUCAAAUAGGCCAAGUGCCAUGGCUUACACCUGUAAGCCCAGCACUUUGGGAGGCCAAGGCAGGAGGACUGCUUGAGCCCAGGAGGUCAAGGCUGAAGUGAGCUGUGUUUGCAUCACUGCACUCCAGCCUGGGCAGCAGAGUGAGACUUUGUCUCUCAAUAAAUAAAGAAAUAGUCAAAUUAAAUAUAACUGGCAAACUAAAACAACUCCAUAGUCCUUAGCUACAAUUUGUCUCAUUUCUCCAAAGAAUUAAAUCAGAUGAUUCUUAACUAACUCAAAGCUCUGCAUAAUUUGUCUUCUGCUACACAUACAUCUUUAUAGUAAAAUAAAAUAAAGCUGUCCCCUCUGUAUUGAGAAGUUAUUCUGGUAAAUAUUUGACCUCUUCAAAUAUAUGAACGAGCACUUGCCUUCUAAUGCCUCAGUUUCAGAUUCUUUUUAGAAAUGUCAUUAUUCAAGAAAAAUGCACAAUGGGAAGAAUCUUAACAACAGCACUUUGUUACUUCAGCCUCUCACUAGAGGAUGAAAAUCGUUCUGCAUAAAGGCCUGGGCUUUAUGAAAAAUAUAUUCACACCUCCCGUGUCCGAGCUGGGAUACCAAAGAAGUUCCUGGUUGAGUACUACUUAUGAAUGAAGGAUUCAGGGGAUGCACAGGACACAGAGGAAUCUGGGGGAUAUUAUGGUUCUGGGAAUGUGGAAUGUAACGUCUCAUCUUCAGCCCAUCUGUGCUACUGAUCAUCUCAUUCCAGAAGCCAUGCCUUCUCUCAGGAGCAGACAGCACAAGACUUUCCUGCCAGAGGCACAGUCCCCAGUGGGAGUAGCAUCCACAUAAGACAGGAUGCAGAGAUGUCUUCAAGCAGCUUCAAACAAAACUUCAAGAAAGAAAGUGCAAGUGAAAAAGGAAAUUCAUCCUUCCAGUCACUUAACACAGCACUGUCACGGACACCUUGUGCCUCCUUAAAAUUCGUAUACUGAAGUUCUAAGCCCCAGUACCCCAGAAUGUGACCUUCUUUGGAAAUAGGGUCAUUGCAGAUAUGAUUAGUUAAGAGGAGAUCAUACUGGAGUGGGCUUUAAUCCAAUAUGACUGGUGUCCUUAUGUAAAGGGGAAAUUUGGACACAGACACACACAAGGAGAACACCAUGUGAACUGAAGUCAAAGAUUUGGGUGAUGCUUCUACAAGCCAAGAAAUGCCAAAGAUGACCAGCAAAGCACCGGCAGCUGGUGGAGGAGCCUGGACCAGAUUCUUCCUCACAGCCCUCAAAAGGAACCAAUCUUGCCAAAGCUUUGACUUAGACUUCUAGCCCCCUGUGAUGGUUAAUGUUAAGUGGCAGCUUGACUGGGUUAAGGGAUGCCCAGAUAGCUGGUAAGACAGUAUGUCUGUGUGCAUCUCUCAGAGUGUUUCUGGACAAGAUCAGCAUUUGAAUCCUUAGAGUAAAGAAGAUCUGCCCUCACCCACGUGCAUCACCCUAUCUCUGGAGAGCGCGAACAAACAGGAGGAAGGGCACAUAUGCUCCUUCUGUUCCAGCUGGCACAUCCAUCUUCUCCUGCCCCCUGACUUCAGAGCUCCUGGUUCUCGGGCCUCAGGAUUCCAGCACUUACAUGAGAGCGUGCUUCCCCCUCCCUACUCCACCCCUAGGUUCUCCGCCCUUUGGCCUCUGACUGAAUUCCACCACCAGCUUUUCAGGGUCUCCAGCUUGCAGACGGCAGAUCGUGGGACUUCUUGGCCUCCAUAAUUAUGUAAGCCAAUUCCCAUAAUAAAUCUCCUAUCUAUCUAUCUAUCUAUCCAUCUAUCAAUCAUCUAUCUAGUCUAUCUAUCUAUCUAUCUCUAUCCUAUUGAUUCUGUGUCUCUGAGGAACCCUAAUACACCUCCAGAACUGUGAGAUGAUACAUUUCUGUGGUUUAAGCCACUCAGAAGGUGGUACUUUGUUUCACCAGGCCUAGCAAACUAAUACAAGUGCAUGGAAGGUGACUACUCAUGACUGCAACUUAGAGAACAAGGGUUAUAAUAAAAAUAAAAGUGUUAUACAAAGGUGGCAAGAUAAAUGACAAUAAAUGAAAAUAUUAACAUGUGAAUUAAAAAGUAAAGAUAUUUUUCCUAGCAUUCUCCCAGAAAGUAGAGACGCGUCUCUCUUGUUUGCCAUCAUAUCCAGCAAUGGCAAGAUAAGUUCUAGGCACUUCAUAAAAAUUUGUUGAAUGAAA